CAUAUAGGGAUAAAGACUGAAAACAGACGAAUCACCAUGGACUUUGGACUCCACUGGAUUUUCUUUAUUGCUCUUUUGAAAGGUGUCCAGUGUCAGGUACAACUGGUGGAGUCUGGGAGAGGCUUGGUCCAGCCCGGGGGAUCCCUGAGGCUCUCCUGUGAGGCCUCUGGGUUUUCCUUCAGUAACGCCUGGAUGAAUUGGAUCCGCCAGGCUCCAGAAAAGGGGCUGGAGUGGAUCUCAUACAUUAAUCCUAAUGGUGGUAGCACAGACUAUGCAGAUUCUGUGAAGGGCCGGUUCACCACCUCCAGAGACAACGCCAAGAACAUGCUUUAUCUGCAAAUGAACAACCUGCAAGAGGAGGACACAGGUGUCUAUUUCUGUGCAAGAAACACA